ensembl:lncRNA
CCUUUGAGCAAGGACUUCUAGCGGCCUUAAGGCUGCGGUCAUGUCCAUCAUUGUCCCUGUUCUUCUAAGUCUUCUGAGAAAAAAUAAUCCUGUGCUUUGGAUCAACAAAGUGCCGUGGUGAUUAUCUAGUCGAACCUUCUUGUUUUAUAGUUGAAGGCAAUGAGGUCUAGAACUAUGAAGUGACCUCAGCACUCUAGCCUUUUCCACUGCAGCAAGUGUCAACAUGUAAUCUGUCUUCAGAAUAUACAUCAGAUCUGAGUGGAUCCUGUGGCUGUUCCAGUCAACAGAAUAUGGCAGAAGUGAUGCUAAAUGGUUCUGAGGCUCUUCCCACUCAAUCUCUGCCCGGUGUCCUGGGACAUUUAUUCUGGUGGAGAGAUAAUUCCAGUAUAAGAGGUACAGCUACCCUGGAGGGCCACGUCUAUAGACCCUGUUGAGCAACCAGCUGACAGCAGCAUCCAGUGGCAGCCAUCUGUGUGAGCCAUCUGGGACGUCCAGUCUAGUUGGGCCCAUAGAUGAUCACAGCAUAGCCAACAUCUGACCACAACUAUGAAAAACCCCGUAUGAGAACUGCCCAGCCAAGCCCUUUGCAGAUUCCUGACUCAUAAAACUAUGAGAAAAAUCAAAUUGUUGUUUUACUCCACUAAGUUUUGGAAUGAUUUGUAAUGCAGGAUCAUUAACCAGGGCACAUAGCAACACUGAAGGGUCACUGCAAGGACUGAGUGAGAGAAC